rnacentral:snoRNA from 1 species
UUGCAGUGAUGACUUUUCUUAUCUGUCAAUCCCCUGAGUGCAGUCACUGAUGUCUCUGUGUCUCUGAGCAA